rnacentral:lncRNA from 1 species
GUGGCUGUCUGGUCACUACUGAGAGACUGUCGGUGGCUGUCUGGUCAUUACUGAGAGAAUGUCGGUGGCUGGCCAUCCUGUCUGGUCACUACUGAGAGACUGUCGGUGGCUGGCCAUCCUGUCUGCACUAUGUGUGCAAAGCUGUCAUCAAGGCAAAGGGUGGCUACUUUGAAGAAUCUAAAAUAUAUUUUGAUUUGUUUAACGUUUUUUUGGUUACUACAUGAUUCCAUGUGUUAUUUCAUAGUUUUGAAGUCUUCACUAUUAUUUUACAAUGUAGAAAAUAGUUAAAAAAAAAACUGGAAUGAGUAGUUUUGUCCAAACUUUUGACUGGUACUGUAUAUGGACAAAAUCAUCAUGGUGCUUUUUGAUGCCAAGUUUACAAACAUUGGUUGUGGUAAGUAUAAUAUAAACUUUGGUAUCAUUAUGGUAAGGCGGGAAUUAAGUAUAGCCAGUUAUUGCUUAGCAGAUCAUUAAAAUAAAAGAGAGAAUAUAAUAUCUAUUGUUUUACAGGAAACUCACUCUGUAGAUGAGGUUGGGAGAAAUAUAUUUUGUCGCGGGCUAAGAAACUCAAAAGGUUUGACUGUAUUAACAACAAUGUUUAUAUGAUUGUGCAAACUGAUCGUCAAGGAAGAUGGAUCCUUUUAAAAAUGUUAUUGGACCAAAAACAGAUCUUGAUAAUUAAUCUAUAUGGGCCAAAUGAUCCACACUUAUUAGAAUAUAUAUAUAUAUUGAGCUCACAAGCAACGAAUUAAUCUAUUAUUAUGGUGGGAGAUUUUAAUGCUCUUUUAAGUACAUCCAUGGAUCGUAAAGAAAUCACACUACAGACUAUCACCCUCUUAAUGAAAUCACAAAUAUCAUAAUAUAUUAUGGAGGUUUAAUAUCCUAUCCUAGUGAGAUAUACAUGGAGGUUUAACAUCCUGACCUAGAGAGAUAUACAUGGAGGAGGUUUAAUAGCCUGACCUAGUGAGAUCUACAUGAAGGAGGUUUAAUAUCCUGACCUUGUGAGAUAUACACGGAGGAGGUUUAAUAUCCUGGCCUAGUGAGAUAUACACGGAGGAGGUUUAAUGUCCUGACCUAGUGAGAUAUACACGGAGGAGGUUUAAUAUCCCGACCUAGUGAGAUAUACAUAAAGGUUUAAUAUCCUGACCUAGUGAGAUAUACACAGAAGUUUAAUAUCCUGACCUAGUGAGAUAUACACGGAGGAGGUUUAAUAUCCUGACCUAGUGAGAUAUACAUGGAGGAGGUUUAAUAUCCUGACCUAGUGAGAUAUACAUGGAGGAGGCUUAAUAUCCUGUUUUUAACAACCUGUUUUUAACGAAGACAACAUUAUUUAUAAUUGACUUUUUUCUGCACAACAUAUGUACAGCACAUCCCCUCAUUGUAUGGGACACUUUCAAAUGUACUUUUAGAGGCCAUUCAAUACAAUACUCAUCAUUAAAACAAAAGCAAAUUAGAGGCACAACAUACUGUAGGUUAUAGGAAAUAACAGCAGGGAGAUAGUAAUGGUAACUACUAUAGAGGCACAAAAUAGGUUAUAGGAAAAACAAAAGGAAUUGGGGGGACUUAAAAGCGAAUUGGAUGGUAAAUGAUGAAAAAUGCACAAAAUUAUUUUUUUAUCUUCAACAUCAAAAUGCUAUGAAAAAGAGUUUACAGAAACUCGUUACAAAUGUUGGAGUCAUCCAUGAUUCACCAAAUUAUACUAUACUUUGAAAUAGGAAGCUAAAUAUUUUAAGCGUAUCAUUUAUUCAGUCUCCACUGAAUGAUUUUAACUGUAAGGAUUUAUUUCCUAAUAAUAAUGUAGAAUUAACAAAUGUACAGAAAGAUUAAAUAUUUUCAGUCUGGAAAAACACCAGGGCUUGACAGUAUACCAGUAGAGGUAUAUCAGACCUUUUUUGAUGUACUCAAAUAUCCAUUAUUAGCAUGUUUUAAUUACUCCUAUAAAAAUGGCAGACUUUCAGGUACUCAACAAGGUCUGAUUUCAUUACUACUGAAACAGGACCCUUGUGGUAAGGUAUAAAGAUCCAGUCCAUUUAAACAACUGGAGACCUCUAAUGCUUCAAUGUUGUGAUGUGAAAAUCCUGGCGAGAUGAAAAGCACAUAGAACAAAACAGGUUUUUACCAGAUAUUGUUCAUCCUGAUCAGACAGGUUUUUUACAUUGACAAUAUAUUGGAGAUAUUAUUAGACAAUUACUUGAAACAAUUGAGCAUUAUGAAACAUCAAAGAUACCAGGCCUGGUCUUCAUAGCAGAUUUCGAAAAGGCAUUUGAUAAAGUAAGUCUAAAAUGUAUAUAUAAAUGCCUGGACUACUUUAAUAUCAGUGAAUCUCUUAUACAAUGGGUUAAAGUUAUGUACAGCAACCCCAGGUGUAAAAUAGUCUCAGAAAGUAUUGAGCUUUUAAGAGGAGUAAAACAAGGUUGUCCGUUGUCGCCAUAUCUAUUUAUUAUGGUCAUUGAAAUGCUAGAUAUUAAAAUUAGAUCCAACAAGAACAUUAAGGGGUUAGAAAUCCAGGGUUAAAAACAAGUGUCAAUGUAUGCCGAUUUUAGUUUUUUUCUUAAGUCCACAAUCUGGAUCCCUGCACAGUCUCAUUAAAGAUCAUGUUUCUAGCCUCUGGACUAAAACCUAAUUAUGACAAGUAUAUCAUAUUACGCGUUGGAUCGUUAAAAUACGGUGUUUACACUGCUUUGCAGUUUACCAAUAAAAUGGGCGGAUGGUGAAGUAGACAUACUUGGUAUUCAUAACUCAAAAAAUGUUAAUGAGUUUGGUUGUGUUAAUGUCAAUAGAAUGUUUUCAAAAAUAGAUACAAUUCUGCAAACAUGGAGAGGUAAAUACUUGCUUAUUUAUGGAAAAAUCACAUUGAUUCACUUGUUGGUCCUAUCAGUUGACUUACUUACUAAUUGCACAGCCUACUCCAGACAAUCUUUUUUUAAUCAUAUGAGCAAAACAAAUAUUUCACUUAUUUGAAAUGCUAUGCCAGACCAAAUUAAACGUACCUAUUUAUGAGUUUGAGGGCCUAAAAUCAUUAAAUAUUGAUUAAAUAUUAAACCUCACUAAAGGAUUCACUCAUAAGUUAUACUUAAACCCCAAAUUGUUCUCCAGUAGAUUAUUAAGAAAGGCUCAUUUAUUGAAAAAUGACUUUUUGCGUUUAAACAGAUUACAACUUCUAAUUUCUGACUAAUUGAAAAUGAAACUUUGUUUUAAGUAUCAUCCUUUCUUAAACAAGCCAUACAAAGCUGGUUACAAUUUCAAUGUUAUCCUACAGAAGAGAUGGAACAAAUAUUAUGGUUAAACUGAAAUAUACUGAUUGAUUUAAAAAAAAAAAACGUUCUUUAUGGAUAAAAAAAAAGGUAUAUUUAUUAAUGAUAUUAUGAGUAGAAACAGAGGAGUUGUGUCAUAUGCAGCUAUCGAAAAUACAUGGGAAAUUCUGCUCAAUACAAAAAUGGCAAGUGGAAAAGGGCAAAGGUAGGGAACUUGUUUGCCUGCCAUAUAUUAAAGAUACAUAUUGGCUGAAAGGAACUGGCAUAAAUAGAAAAGUAUACCAGUUUCAUCUGAGGACAAAAAUGUUGACAGCUGCGUCAUUCAGGUUGUAAAAUAGUUGAGAAGAGAUUUCUGAUGUUUAAAAAAAUAAAUAAUGUAACCUUUAUUUAACUACGCAAGUCAGUUAAGAACAAAUUCUUAUUUACAAUGUCGGCCUUUACAAUGUACCGAUUCCUGACACUUGAUUCAAUUAAUAUUCAACAUUCUUG